rnacentral:misc_RNA from 1 species
AGGAUGCCGCCGCCGACGCCGCUCUUUCCCGGCAACCCCACCCGAUAGGCAAACUCCCCCGAGCCAUCGUAAUGCCCGCAUGUCAGCAUCACCGCGUUGAUGCGCCGCGCCCGCUCCGGCGGCACGACCAGAAAUCCAGUCGACGGAUUGCGACCCGAGUGCGCGAGAAACCGCCCCGCCAUCGCAAGCUGGCGGCAUGACAUUGCGAUGGCGCAUUGAUGGAAAUAGACGCCGAGCGUCAGCUCAACAGGAUUUUCGAUAACCCCGAACGACUUCAUGUAAUUGCCGAGCGCGAUGUUGCGAAAACCGGUGCGCUGCUCGGAUGCCGCGACAGACUCAUC